UACGGGAGGCAGCAGUAGGGAAUCUUCCACAAUGGGCGCAAGCCUGAUGGAGCAACACCGCGUGAGUGAAGAAGGGUUUCGGCUCGUAAAGCUCUGUUGUUGGAGAAGAACGUGNGUGAGAGUAACUGUUCACGCAGUGACGGUAUCCAACCAGAAAGUCACGGCUAACUACGUGCCAGCAG
rnacentral:rRNA from 1 species